UGAAGGUUUACAGGCAAUAAAACCUCGUUUGAGAAAUCAAUUCAUUGGAAUGGAAAGUUAAAUAUGGAUCAAUUAGGCGGUGGGAAACUGGGAAUGCAAAAGUGGAUGAUGGAUAAUGUAAAGUUCUCAGUUAAAGAACCGAUUGAGGCCGCGGCAUAAGAAGAAGAGCUGGAACACCUUUUCCAUGAUUUGCAGAUCUGAAGGUGAUGCAACGGGGAGGAUAACUGCUGGAAUUCUCGGGCCCCUUAAGUUUGAUAAGUCUCUUAGCCAGGGAACCAUCGAACAGCUGAGGAACCUAGUAACUGGAGAUAUGGACAAUAUUUUUUCAACUAGCAGGCCCAGCAGGCAGAACAGUUUUGGCAGUGUCGGCACCCCUAGGACUCCUGGGACUCCAGUGUUUCAUGCAGUCUCGAAUGCGGCGUGCAAAGAGGCCCUGGAGGCGACAAUCGCCUCGCUACAGAGCAACAUUUCGGAAUCCAAGGCCAGAUCUGCGUACCUAACCAGCUGGUCAGUAGUACAAAACCGGGGAGCGGCUAAUGCCAUACUUCCCUCGCGGAUUAUUUCUCUUCUGUGUGCAUCAAUUACACGUUCCUGGGGGUAUAAAGGUCGAAUGGUGGAAUAAAGGGUGUGCCUGGAUUAUGUUUUGUAACUGGAAGGGUGGGUAGCAGCAGAAAAAUUUGUAGCUGGAAGGAUGCAAUGUACAUAGGUGGUUCGCACAUCAUGUUUUAUUUUUCUCUUACGGCUUACCAGAGGCCUGGAUUAUGUUUUGCUGUGUGCAUAGUCAAAGUAUCUGAUGUUGUUCCUUGCAAAAUAAAUUCUAUUUAGGAU